GUCUACGGCCAUACCACCCUGAACGCGCCCGAUCUCGUCUGAUCUCGGAAGCUAAGCAGGGUCGGGCCUGGUUAGUACUUGGAUGGGAGGGAUUUGGCAGAAAUUUUUGGUAAGGGUGGCCC
rnacentral:rRNA from 1 species